UACGUAGGGAGCAAGCGUUGUCCGGAAUCAUUGGGCGUAAAGCGCGCGUAGGCGGCUAUACAGGUCCGCUGUGAAAACUCGAGGCUCAACCUCGAGACGUCGGUGGAAACCGUAUGGCUAGAGUCCGGAAGAGGAGAGUGGAAUUCCUGGUGUAGCGGUGAAAUGCGCAGAUAUCAGGAGGAACACCGGUGGCGAAGGCGGGUCUCUGGGCCGAAACUGACGCUGAGGAGCGAAAGCGUGGGGAGCGAACAGG
rnacentral:rRNA from 1 species